UAAAAUAUAGUUUAAAAAAAAUAUUCAAUUUCGACUUGAAAGAUAUUUAAUUUUUAUUUUAA
rnacentral:tRNA from 1 species